CUAAGUGGGAUUUUGUUGAAGACGACAUUUAAAGUUAUACAGGGUAAACCAGGUUCUCAUUUGCAGAGAUUUAAAACAGGAGGAGUUGUUGCCUUCAUAUGAUGAUAUUCAACCAAUUGAAGCUCAAGGUCCUCGUUUUCACAGUCUCUCAAUUUUGGUAUAGAGGGAAGGCAAGGAUGAAGCGAAAGAAAGCGGCCUUGCAAAGAUUAUCAGAGGAGUCACUGUCUUCAUACGAUGAUAUUCAACCACUUGAAGCUCAAGAGUCUCCCAAUUUUGGUAUAGAGGGAAGGCGAGGAUGAAGUGAAUGCAGGUGGCCUUGCAAAGAUUAUUAGAGGACUGGUCGUUGCCUUCAUACGAUGAUAUUCAACUACUUGAAACUCAAGGGAAUUUUUUCAUUUUUCCUUUUUGGUUUUGCUGGCUUCUUCAUUUACUCAACUCAUCACCAAUAUUUGUCUCCUUGGGAUGUGGUAAGUAGUAAUCUAUUUUGCUUUGCAGUUUGAAAUAGGUGGAUAUUGAUGUUUGAGAGGCAAGUCUUAGAACACGCCUGCCAUACAUAAUGUCCUUUGGCUACAUCAAACUUGUAUAAUCAUGAUUA